AAGAAAUCAACCGAGAUUCCGAAAGUAGCGGCGAGCGAAAUUGGAUUAGCCCUUAAGCUUUACAUGUGUUAGACGAACGGUCUGGAAAGUCCGACGAUACAGGGUGAUAGUCCCGUAGUUGUAGAUGCAUGUUCAGUGAAAUUGAGUAGGGCGGGACACGUGUUAUCCUGUCUGAAUAUGGGGGGACCAUCCUCCAAGGCUAAAUACUCCUGACUGACCGAUAGUGAACCAGUACCGUGAGGGAAAGGCGAAAAGAACCCCUGUGAGG
rnacentral:rRNA from 1 species